CUGGCAACGGGCUUUAGUCAUGGUCUGGCAAAUGAGUCCACGGCCAUAUUUGGCCAUAAAGUUAAUCGCUUCUGGCGUGACCAUUUCGGCCGCCAUGAUCA
rnacentral:antisense_RNA from 1 species